AAGAAGGCAAAAGGUUUUUUGAGAUGUCUUACCUUAUUUGUCUAAAAUAUCAUGAUAUAUUUAAGAAUUUUGAGAUAAGAUUUUUUGGAUGUCAUUAGUGUUACUCUUUUUUUUAUAGCUGGGAGUGUUAAGAUCUUUACAUAAAAAUACAUUAUACUGAAUAAGUAUGUGAUUGUUACAUCUCUGAUAAAAUAGCACAUGGCUAAUGGCAGCCAUUUUGUUAAAAUGUUAGUUUUUUUCUGUAAAUUGUCAUUGGUGUUACCGAUCUAGAUUAUUUCUGCACUGCCGAUGCUGUACAGAUGGGCAGAGUGUGCUGGUGGUUUUAUUUCUCCAAAGUAAUUGAACUUAGUGAUACACAUUCUUUAUUGGCCACAUUAACACAUUUGUUCAUGUGGUUAUAUACGCUCUGGCUGCAUUGGGACCCCAAAUGCAGAAAUUCUUGGGGUGAAAACGCUAUCUCACUACUCUCCAAUUGUUAAGUCUAAUCUAUUGUGUAAAUCAGUGCUCUUCAACCUUCAGUCUGAGGACCCUUUGGUGAAUAGAGACCUGGAAUCACAUAGCUGCAGUUCUUUAUUGUGACCAUUCACACUGCGAUCAACCUCAUUGCUCAUUGCUGACUGUGACUUUCCCGACUCCUACUCCUUCAGUCUUAUCGCUUUGUUUAGUAACUUUUAUUAUCAAAGCUACGUCACCAAGAAGCCCAAGAGAACAUGAUAACCAUGGACAUAGUACAUACACAAUUGUACAAAAUAUAGAUUUUUAAAUGUGGUGGUCCCAAUGAUUGUUUAUCAUCUUUUUUUUUUAUCUCUGGACCAUUUGUCUGUAUAUUCUCCCCUCCUCCUAACAAACGAUUGUUCAUACAAUCUCCCCUCCCCCAUUGGUCAUUAGGGAUUGAGACCCUGCAAUGCUCUAGUGAUCUGGCCAAAUUGAAAUAAACCCGAGUCCACCUUCUGCUCCCCACUCACUUAUUUAUCUAAUCUCUCAGUGUGACACUUCAUUUGUUUUACCACUCAUUGGAUCAGGUCAACCAAUCACAGCGCAGCUGGGGGAGGGUCUUAUUUAGGGCUCUGCCUUUAGUACAGCUGUCCUCUAUUUAAUACACGUUAGCUUGAACAAAUAAACAUUUUUUAUUUAUUUAUUCAUUGUUUAAGCAUCCUUUUACUUUGUAUUUAAUAAAUACACAUGGUUAAACAAAGGUAUUUCUUUGACUAGUUGGGUGUUUGUGAUAUAAAAUAAACACAAUGUGGACACUGAGUAAUUAUUUGGGUGAAUUUGAAUGACAUUUGCUUAACU